GGAAAUGGAUUUUCAGAUGUUGCUAGGUGACAUCUAAGAGUCUCUCUCUUGGUGAAGAACAGAGGUGCCCUGGGAAACCAGUCUGACUGUGAGAAUGGAAAUUUCCAGAUGUCUUAGACUCCCUUUUGUAAGCUGGAGUCUGGUGAAUUUAGCAUACAAAUCUGCAAGCCUUCCAGCUGAAUCCAAAUCAUCUCAGUACUUACAGCUCUGUAUCAGGACAAAGAUCAGGAAGCAUCGUGCAUCAGCAGCCUAGGAAAUGUAUCACCAUCUGCAGAAGACAAAUGUAUGAAUCUACAUCAGUGAUGAAAGUAUAACCUACACUCCAGUGAGGCCUGGCCGUGUGCAGAGGCACAAGAUGCUUUUGCUUACCUUCACAACAAGCUGGAUUGUGAAGACUGCAUGAGUUUAGAGAAGCUACAGCUGAAGUAUCAGCUUUGCAGCUUGGACUCUACCUCCCCUUCUGAAAGCAGUCAUGGAGUCUUUUCGUGCUGCUGGUAAGCCCAGGCAAGGCAAUGAAUUCUUUCUGUUGUCUGUCUGAUGUGGUGUUUUGCUGUGUUUACUCUGGGCUCACAUUUUGCCCAUGUUCUAGGGACUCUCUGAGACACUAUCAACAUAUUUACUGUUUGAAAAAAAGGCUGGAAAAGCUUCUCACAAGUUCUUCCUUUAAAUGCUUGUGUGCAUUCAGCUGGAAAGAGGUGGCAAGACCUGGUAUUUUACCCUCCUUGGCUGUUAGCUCUACUGAUGCUGAAUACUAAUUCCAUGCUGAAUUAUGUUUUGUGUGCUUAAAAUACAAAUAUGGAGAGAUAUUUAUGACCAAGAAAUAUAUGCUUAGUAUAAAUUUACAGAGUUAAUAGAUAAGAUGGAGCACUUAUAUUAGGGCUGGUUUAUUUUAUUGCUAUCGUUAACCUUCAUAUGGAGUUUAAAUCUAGCUGAAAAUAUGUGACAACUGGAAUCUAAAGAACACAGUACAUUUCCAUGUACUCUGCUAUUUCCUCCAUUAGAAAAUGCACUUGUGCUGCGACAGUGGUCCAGGGAGAUAGGAGAAGGAAAAGCAGAGGCCUAGAGUGGACUGCAAGGGUUGGGAAGACUCUGGCUCUUGUAGGUGUAGCUGAUGAGGGACCUCUGUCACCUCUUCGUUGGUAUCAUUGAUCCACAUUGUCUGUCUGCAGUGUUACAGAGAAAUGUGAACUCAUGGCACUGCUGAGGUCUGCUGGGAACAGUGUUUUUAGUACAUCCUGCUUCUAGUGGAUUUGGGAGCUGUGUGAAUAGUCUUUUAUGGACCAAAAUGUGCUUGAGCUGCACUGUCAGGAAGGAGUUUGUGAGGAGCUGAGUGAGGCAGAGAGGUGAAGAGGAAAUAUGAGCAGCUCAUUUGGAUUUCUGGAGAGCAUUUGAUAAAUGUACUUUCAAAAGUAACCAGCGGUGAACCCAGGUCCUUAACUCUGAUCCCUAACCUGGACUUCAAGUCACCUGCAUUUCGUUUGGGAUUCUGCAGAGCUUAGCUAAAUGCCAUGGCAGCACAUUCUCCCUGUCUGCUUCAGCCAAGUAAAUCCCUCAGAAAUACAAAUUCUAGUGCUUGACAAGAGCUGUGCACAAUAUUCCUGUUACAGUUGAUAUUCAGUUCAUACAAGGAGAAGGAACAGCCUCAAUAUUUGUUUUGAAAAACAAACAUGAAGUUUCCCCCCCACUGGUCUUCUUAUACACAUUCCCUACAUACUUCUGAUCUCUGUGCCUUUAUAGGGGGAGCUCCAGAUAAGAAUAUUUAAUCCCCCUGUUCUCAUGUGCUAUUUUGAGUUGGAUUCUCCUGAAUGUCAGUAGGAAGUUGGCACACACUAGGCUCUGAUACACAUGGAUGUUUUGCCCAUGGUGACUUGAGAUGACAAUGCCAGAUGUCAUUUUCAAAGAGGUGAUUUUUGUUCAUGGCAGUUCUGGAUAGUCUUAAGUUGUUCCUUAGUGUUCAGUUCUCUACUAAUACACCAGGGAAUCAUUUAGGUUGGAAAAGAUCCUUAACAUCAAAGGCAACCAUCAGCCUAACAGUAUGAGUACAUCACUAGAAUACUAGAACCUCCUUCAAGGCAGUUAUGAAGUGACAGAUUUUCCCUUAAUUUCCUCUUCUCCAGACUGAACAGCCUGGUUCCUUCAGUCUCUCUUCAAUGUCUUGUAUUCUGGUCCUAUCAUCAGCUUCAUUGCUCUUCUCUGAACA